CCUACGGGAGGCAGCAGUGAGGAAUAUUGGUCAAUGGGCGGAAGCCUGAACCAGCCAAGUAGCGUGCAGGAUGACGGCCCUACGGGUUGUAAACUGCUUUUAUACGGGAAUAACGCGCCUUACGUGUAGGGCUUUGCAUGUACUGUAUGAAUAAGGACAGGCUAAUUCCGUGCCAGCAGCCGCGGUAAUACGGAAGGUCCGGGCGUUAUUCGGAUUUAUUGGGUUUAAAGGGAGCGUAGGCCGCAUGUCAAGCGUGCUGUGAAAUGUCCGGGCUCAACCCGGGCCUUGCAGCGCGAACUGGCAGGCUUGAGUCCGCGAAAGGCAGGCAGAAUUCGUCGUGUAGCGGUGAAAUGCGUAGAUAUGACGAAGAACCCCGAUUGCGAAGGCAGCUUGCUGCAGCGGAACUGACGCUGAUGCUCGAAAGCGCGGGUAUCGAACAGGAUUAGAUACCCGAGUAGUC
rnacentral:rRNA from 1 species